ensembl:misc_RNA Metazoa_SRP Metazoan signal recognition particle RNA
GCCGGGCGCAGUGGUGUUUACCUAUAAUCUCAGCUACUUGGGAGGCUGGGGUGGGAGGAUGGCUUGAGCCCAGGAGUUCUGGGCUGUAGUGCACUACGCAAAUCAGUUGGCUACACUAGCUUUGGCAUCGAUAUGGUGACCUUCCAGGAGUGGGGGACAACCAGGUUGCCUAAGGAGGGGUAAACUGGCCAAGGUCGGAAACAGAGCAGGUCAAAACUCCCGUGCUAACCAGUAGUGGCAUGAUGCCUGUGAAAAGCCACUGCACUCCGGGCAACGUGCAAGACCCUAUUACUA